CCUACGGGAGGCAGCAGUGGGGGAUAUUGCACAAUGGGGGGAACCCUGAUGCAGCGACGCCGCGUGGGUGAAGAAGCGCCUCGGCGCGUAAAGCCCUGUCAGCAGGGAAGAAAAUGACGGUACCUGAAGAAGAAGCCCCGGCUAACGACGUGCCAGCAGCCGCGGGAAUACGUAGGGGGCAAGCGUUAUCCGGAUUUACUGGGUGUAAAGGGGGCGCAGCCGGCGAUGCAAGCCAGGAGGGAAAGCCCGGGGCCCAACCCCGGGACUGCUCUUGGAACGGCGUGGCUGGAGUGCAGGAGGGGCCGGCGGAAUUCCUGGUGUAGCGGUGACAUGCGUCGAUAUCAGGAGGAACACCGGUGGCGCAGGCGGCCUGCUGGACUGCAACUGACGUUGAGGCCCGAAAGCGUGGGGAGCAAACAGGCUUAGAUACCCGGGUAGUC
rnacentral:rRNA from 1 species